UACGUAGGGGGCAAGCGUUAUCCGGAUUUACUGGGUGUAAAGGGAGCGUAGACGGCAGGGCAAGUCUGGAGUGAAAGGCAGGGGCCCAACCCCUGGACUGCUCUGGAAACUGUCCGGCUGGAGUGCAGGAGAGGUAAGUGGAAUUCCUAGUGUAGCGGUGAAAUGCGUAGAUAUUAGGAGGAACACCAGUGGCGAAGGCGGCUUACUGGACUGUAACUGACGUUGAGGCUCGAAAGCGUGGGGAGCAAACAGG
rnacentral:rRNA from 1 species